rnacentral:lncRNA from 1 species
UCAUUCUUGUUAUUCCCAAUACUGAUACUAAAUUACAAAUUUGAAAUUUACAGUUAGACUACUAUAUAAGGGUAAAUUCGAAAUACCCAUAGCUUGAAAGGUUUAAAUUCACAACUUUAUAUCAUUAUAAAUAUUUAGUAAUUUAUAUAUAAUACGUGCAUUUUAUUUUCACAACUUAUAUAACAAAUCAAAUUAAAAUCUUUUGUCCCAAAUUCAAUUUAAAAAAACAAUUGACAUAUAGAAAGGUGUUCCAAAAAUAGCAUUUGUUCUGCUUUCUACACAAACAGAGGAACUCUUUCCCAGCCAAAUACCAAAACUUGUCACAAAUCGUAGGCAUCCAAAAUCCCACCCCCCAAAUACAAACAAAAAAGAAACUACAAGAGUAACUGCCAAAACAUAAGAAAUAGAUCUAAUAACCUUCCUCUAAUCAUCUUACCCUGUUCCUAAAAGAUCAUCUUCUUCGCUUCAAAACUGAUGGUUUGAUUCUGAUGUUUGCAGGGGAUGAGAGAAAUUUGUUCAUGUUUGCAUGAAAGGAAAGUGAACCGAAAGUUCCAACAGAGAAAACCUUAAACUGAAGAUCUUCCUUUGUGUUUGCAGUAUCAAAGCCAUUUAAUGAUAAGAAGAAAAAGGAUAAGAAAAAAGUGAAUCUACAAGCAGAGCUGACGGCAGAAAGGAACAUAAAUGCAAAUCAUAUAGACCAUAAACUGAACAUGAUCCAAAUCACUUUUUUUCCUCUUUGUGGUAGGCCAUAUUUACAGUUUAAGGUCUCCAGAGCUCCAUUUCUGCUGUCACCUUUGCUUGGACUGUUCCCAAUCGUUUCACUUUUCCUUCUCCUUUUUCUCCCUAUCAUUCAAUAGUUUUUUUACAGCAAACAGAGUUGAAAGCAGGGCAAAAUGAGAUUCAUCACAAAAGAAAUGAAAGAAACCAAAGCAAAAAAAGAUUGCCUAAAUGGAACUGCCUCAGCCUUUUUGGGGAACUUUCGGUUCAAUUUCCUUGCUUGCAGCCAUGAAUCAUCAAAAGAGAUAGAAACGCCAGCCUGUGUGUAAGAAAAAUGCGAGUUUCGCUUGUUCGGACACUUAGGGUUCUUAUAUUAGUUCCGUAGAUCAGGAGGACUGCAACAAGAAAG